rnacentral:tRNA from 1 species
UAGGAGGUUAGUUAAAAUAUAAUUCGAGAUUGUCAGUCUCGCGUUACUAAUAUAAUUUAGUACCGCCUAA